AUGGAUAGAAUGUUGGAAGCCAAAACAGUUUACGGUUAAAGUUGGGGAUGGGCCAUUGAAAAGCGUAAAAAACCAAAGUUUUAGACCCAAAAAAUUACCUUGGGCUGGUACCGGUAUUACGGUUCAAACCGGUAUACCGGGUUUUACCGCCAGUACAACUCUUAUGUCGUUUCACUAUAUUACCGAGGUGUUUCGUAUCGGAUUCACAUCCGAGACCGGUGAUACCGGCCGGUAUUUACCGGUUUUUAAAACAUUGCCCCUAACGCGUCUUGAAUAGCCAAAAGAGAAGAGUUCUAGAAACUCGGUGUAGUGACUUGUAAUUUAGGUGGGACUUGUAUUUUAGUUUCGGUUACUUGGAUAAUGGCGGUUAUACAAUUGUGGUAACCAUGUCUAAAUCUAGGUAUUCUUCUAUGGAUCGUCUGAACUUGAAUUAUUGUAGUGAGGUGAAUAAUUGAAAAUCGAAUAAUUUAUUGUAUAGAAAAAUUUACUCUUUUUCUCAUAUUUUUUUGUUUUGUAAUAGUUUUGCUUUUGUUGAACAUUUUUCUUACUUUAGUAGCAUGAUUAAUUUUAUGUUUUGAUUGUUUUUUUUUUUUCAUUUAAAGUUUGAUGUUUAUUAUAUUGUCUUCUAGACUGAUUUAUAAGUUAAGAAUAAAACACAACAAAUGGCUAAGAACAUUCUUUUGUAGUGAGCUAAUUUAAAAGUUAGUUAAAAAGGGUGUAAACACAUAA
rnacentral:lncRNA from 1 species